rnacentral:lncRNA from 1 species
CAGCGGUCUCCCGCCCACUGGGCUCGACGGGACCGUGCUCCAACCAAGGGCGCAUGCGCGGGGAGACAUUUUGCUCCUCGACGGGACACCGGCCUGGGUCCCUGGGCCUCCCAAACGGGGAGAUCCCCGCACCUGGGCCGGAGGUGAGGCGGAAGCCGGCGAGUCAUUCGGACUGCGGGAAUUCGGACCCUCCCCUCAACGCCCUGCGCAAUGUGGAUGCGAACACCUCCCGGGACGGCCAAGCCUCAAGCAGCCUCCUUCCGGGCCCAGGGAACUGCAGGGCCACGCGGCUACUGUGGUGCAUUCUCUCCACGAAGCGCCCAUCUGGAAAGCGAAGUCUCUCCAAUCAGCGAGGUUCAAGGAGCGGAUUUACACCAGACUUCUGCUGCCCGAAAGCAUCGUGUCCCGUGGAGCCUCAUUCAGGAGCUUUAUACAAGCAUUCCCAAAGGUCUCUCUGGUGGAAAUGGAAAUGAUGUCCUCAGUGACAUUCCCGUUGUUUGAAGGUGACAAAGAGAUUGACCAAUUAUGGAAUGAGAACUAUACCCAGACAUGCCGACAUCCCCCAAGGAAGAACGCCUCUCAAAGUGCAGCACCUUUCUGCCCUCUGGAACUGCUAAUGGCACCUCCAGAUCAGGCACAUGGGUCCGUGCCUUCCUCCGGACUCAUAAGCAUUGCUAGAAACAAAGAUGAAGGUGAUGGAGUGGAAGAGACAGAGGCGGAAGGAAAGGAAAGCAAUGCGGCUGAGACGAACAGGAUGGUGGUCCACAAAACCUCCCGGAAUCAUCCUGUGAGCAAGUCCAUCAUGGAAACCUUGUGGGCAACAUUUAAAGUGAAACAUCGGGUUAGGACCCCUGAAGCAGUAAGACUGGCUGGAGAUUUGGCUAUCUCUGUUCUACAGGUUAAAGCUUGGUUCAGGAGCACCAGACGAAAACACCGGAAAAUGGCCAAGGGCCAGAGGAGGGUGACAAAGUCUAAAAUGCAAUCUGUUCUUAGGAUGAAGUCUUCCGUGAUCUGCUACAUGUGCUGCGCUUAAAACAGACUGGGAAGAGCAGUCACUUCUACCUCUCCAGCCUUGUGCCCUGACACCAGCUCUGAGGGAUUCAGGAGUCCCACUGCCUCUGAUGUUCGAGCAAAACAGUUUCAUUGACUGUUCAGAAAUGCCACCUCCUCUAAAUCCAUUGCCCUUACAUUUGCAACUGUGCUGGUGGGCUGGAAUGUUCAAGAUUCAGGUUGAGCUGAGGGAAAGAACACCCCACUGGUGGAAAGAGCAGAACCAGAUUCCAGUUCUUCGUCUACCUCAUACCUGUUGCCUGAUGUUGAAAAAGUCCCUUACUGUCUCUCUCCCUGUUGCUCCAUCUGCAUAUUGAGGACAAGAGUCCUGUUCUUUCUGCGAAGUCCGGCUCCCUCCCCACCUGCGGUGUUUUUCAUUCUCCUGGAGAGGAGCUGGCCGAGUCCUGGCUGCAGAUGCCUAAACCGGGGCUGCCCCUUUAGCAGAGGUCAGAUCGAAGUUCAACUAUACACGUUUCAGUUUCAGAGGAAACCAAGUGAGCCCCUGCGUUCUACCUGGAUUCCUUACUCCCAUAGCUAACGGAACCUCUCUCCUCUCUCUUCCCCAGUGCCACUGUCCGCUAGCCAUAACGGACGAUCUAGCAAUCCAAACGCCAAAAACAUCAAACAUAAGCCAUUGUGACAUAGGCGGGCUUUGUCAUAUUGUCUUGAAGGAUUCCACCUGAAUAAAGUUUCACGGUGAAGAAUUUAUCUGAAUAACAGCUUUGUAGAAGAAAGUGCUCCAAAGCCUUGUGGGCUUCCAAGUUCUAUUCAAAAUUGAAACCACCACUUAUUUCCUUAUGUAUAUGUAUAUGCAGAAACUAUACUGGGAGUAUACAUGGACUGUGUCCAAACUGAUUUGCGAGUAUCUACCCUGGAUCUUAGUACAGUGACUAUUACAGAGUAGGCGCUUAAUAAAUACCAUUACCAAAAAUAAAUGUGCAAGGAAAGGGCAGAGGACAACCAGCAGCUGAAACUGCCUGGAAGAGAUUCUUGGGUGGGGAGGGAGCCAUGUAGGAAUCCUAGCUCAGGGGAGAGAAAAAACUAGAAAGGCAGAGGAUUUCUUCAUACAUUUUCUUAAAAAGAAUAGAAAUAGCAGAGGUUUGGGGAAAGGUGGGCAGGAGAUCAUUGAUGGGCCACCACAUAAACAAGCCAAGUUCAGAACCAUUUCACUGUGGACAAGGCUCGGAUUGCUCCAUCAUUUUAUGUAGUCUUCUGUAGAGAUACUUGUUAAGCGUUUACUGUUUACCAAGUCCCACCUGGGGCUCAGAGUCUAUUUCGGAGGGAGUUCUUUCCCUUCUCUCUAACCUCUCUUAAAGCUUCAAGUGCCUUCCCACCAUCAACAGCCCUGCCAGCUUCGUCCAUAGUAAAGUGGAAAUAAUCAGGUGUGAACUUCUCCAGUCUCUCCGCUUUAGUAUCCCCUCCUCCUCUUUCUUCUCCACCCCUAGCUGUUUCUCAAAGGGAAAUCUUCUACCUUCUCUCUAAAUCUAUCCCUUUUAUCUGUACCUCCCUUCCCUAUUGCUAUCUUUACCCCUCCCUUGAGGAUGGCUUUUUCUCCAGUAUUUUUAAAAACACUGAAGUCUCUCCUAUGUUAACAAAAAUCUUUUGGAUCGCUCAGCCACUGCCAGCUAUUAAUCUAUUUUUCUGCUCCCAUUCCUGUCCAAACUCUUUGAAAGGGUUGCCUUCACCCACUGUGUUCACUUCCUCUCCACAACUCUCCUCACCAACUUAACCUACCACAGCCUGGGUUUGAAUGACCACUUCAAACCACCUAGUCUGGAUAAUCCCUCCACACGGAUUCUCUAUCUUUGAGGUUCAGAACUGAGGUUCAUCUGUCCAGGGUAUUCAAGGAAGGAAAGAGGUAAUCUCUUAUGAAUCUUUCACUCUUCUCCUAAUGGGGAAUGAUCUAUCAGUGGUAUUUACUGAGCACUUACUGGGUACAAAGCCAUUGUUCUAAGCCCUUGGGAGAGUACACAGUAAUGAUAAGGUAGAAUUAAUGCCUCCCCACAAGGGGUUUAUAUCAUAGACAGGAAGACAGACCUUUAAAUAAAAGUAAACUGUCCAAAGAUACAACAAAAAGACAAAAUAUGUAGAUAUAACAGGUAAGAACAAGAGUAUGAAAAAAUGAAAUAUUUGGAGGACAUAAAUCAAUAUAUGCAACUAAUGCAUAUGUGUUUGAGGAAGCUGUUGGGGCAUUAUGAAGAAGAGUUGUGGAUAUUAAUCCCUAUUCUCCUUGCCAUGUAGUCUGUGAGGCCCAUAUGGGGCAGGGGCUGUGUCUUACCUAAUUAACUCAUAUCUAGACCAGCUUUUGGAACAGUGUUAAACACCUCAUAAGUACUCGAUAAAAAUAAUGAUAGUAAUUAAGAUUAUCAUCAUAAUGAUAAUUUGGUGAAGCCUCCUGGAAGAAGUACAUUUUUGGUCCUGAGGAUUCAACAGGGGAGGGAGUUUCAAGCAAGAAGCGGGUGUGAUCCAUGACUCGAAGACAAGAGAGUUGAGAGAGCUUCAGUAGACCUUUAGAGGAAGAAAGAAUGAGAGUUAUGGUGAAAUGAGUGAGAAGAGGAAACGGUAGGAGAGAGAUGGUGGAAAACCUUGAAGCCACUGGUCAGGAACUUGGGGAUUGUGGAAAGAGAAAAUAGGUAUCAAAUAAUUUUU